AGCGGCCGCGGUAAUUCCAGCUCCAAUAGCGUAUAUUAAAGUUGUUGCAGUUAAAAAGACUCGUAGUUGAAUUUCGGGAUCAAUUUGCUGGUCGUGCCUUCGGUACGCACUGGUAUUAUUGGUUUCUCCUUUCUGAUGAAUCGCGAUGUCAUUAAUUUGGUGUCGUGGGGAAUCAGGACUGUUACUUUAGAAAAAUUAGAGUGUUUAAAGCAGGCUCACGCUUGAAUACAUUAGCAUGGAAUAAUGAAAUAGGACGUUUGAUUCUAUUUUGUUGGUUUCUAGGAUCGACGUAAUGAUUAAUAGGGAUAGUUGGGGGCAUUAGUAUUCAAUUGUCAGAGGUGAAAUUCUUGGAUUUAUUGAAGACUAACUACUGCGAAAGCAUUUGCCAAGGAUGUUUUCAUUAAUCAAGAACGAAAGUUAGGGGAUCGAAGACGAUCAGAUACCGUCGUAGUCUUAACCAUAAACUAUGCCGACUA
rnacentral:sRNA from 1 species